UACAGAGGUCCCGAGCGUUGUUCGGAUUCACUGGGCGUAAAGGGUGCGUAGGUGGUUGGGUAAGUUUGAUGUGAAAGCUCAGGGCUUAACCCUGAAAUGGCAUUGAAUACUACUUAACUGGAGGUUUGGAGGGGGGACUGGAAUUCUUGGUGUAGCAGUGAAAUGCGUAGAUAUCAAGAGGAACACCAGUGGCGAAGGCGAGUCCCUGGACAACACCUGACACUGAGGCACGAAAGCUAGGGGAG
rnacentral:rRNA from 1 species